UCCGUAGGCGGUCUUAUAAGUCAGUGGUGAAAUCUCCCCGCUCAACGGGGAAACGGCCAUUGAUACUGUAGGACUUGAAUUAUUAGGAAGUAACUAGAAUAUGUAGUGUAGCGGUGAAAUGCUUAGAGAUUACAUGGAAUACCAAUUGCGAAGGCAGGUUACUACUAAUGGAUUGACGCUGAUGGACGAAAGCGUGGGUAGCGAACAGGAUUAGAUACCCUGGUAGUCCACGCCGUAAACGAUGGAUACUAGCUGUUGGGAGCAAUUUCAGUGGCUAAGCGAAAGUGAUAAGUAUCCCACCUGGGGAGUACGUUCGCAAGAAUGAA
rnacentral:rRNA from 1 species